CCCUUAGAUGUUCUGGGCCGCACGCGCGCUACACUGACGAUGGCAACGAGUUUUUCCUUCGCCGAAAGGUGUGGGUAAUCUUUUGAAACAUCGUCGUGCUGGGGAUAGAUCAUUGCAAUUUUUGAUCUUGAACGAGGAAUUCCUAGUAAGCGCGAGUCAUCAGCUCGCGUUGAUUACGUCCCUGCCCUUUGUACACACCGCCCGUCGCUACUACCGAUUGAAUGGUUUAGUGAGGACUCCUGAUUGGCGCCGCCGCCCCGGCAACGGAGCAGCGGACUGACGAAAAGUUGUUCAAACUUGAUCAUUUAGAGGAAGUAAAAGUCGUAACA
rnacentral:rRNA from 1 species